AGAGUAGUAAGCUAAAAUUAAGCUGCUAGGUUCAUACCCUGGAUAUGGUCAAACCCCUUCUCUA
rnacentral:tRNA from 1 species